rnacentral:rRNA from 1 species
GCAAAGGUAGCAUAGUCAUUAGUUCUUUAAUUGUGAUCUGGUAUGAAUGGCUUGACGAGGCAUGGGCUGUCUUAAUUUUGAAUUGUUUAUUGAAUUUGGUCUUUGAGUUAAAAUUCUUAGAUGUUUUUAUGGGACGAGAAGACCCUAUAGAGUUUAACAUUUGUUAUGGUCCCAUUUCUGUUUGUGAGGGUUCACUGGGCCAUUUAAUAUGUUUUGUUGGGGUGAUGGGAGGGAUUAAUUUAACCCCUCCUUUUUAUUAUUAUAUUUAUUUAUAUUUACUUGAUCCAUUUAUUUUGAUUGUAAGAUUAAAUUACCUUAGGGAUAACAGCGUUAUCUUCCUUGAGAGUUCUUAUCGGCAGGAGGGAUUGCG